AUCGCUUCUCGGCCUUUUGGCUAAGAUCAAGUGUAGUAUAUCAGUAUAUAUAAAUGAGCUUUUAUUUUUAACUAGAGGCCCAGUGCACGAAAUUUAUGCAUGGGGGUGGGGUGUCCCUCAGCCCAGCCUGC
rnacentral:snRNA from 1 species